rnacentral:lncRNA from 1 species
AAUGCUUGUCAGCUGAAUCUGCAGAGCCACGGAAAUCAUGGCUUUGUAAGUCCCUCUGGGCCCACAUCUGCAUGUCCUUGAAACCCCAGAGAGGCCCUUCAUACCUUCUUGGGUUCAGGCACGACUUGGGUUUCUACACCACCUCCAGGCAGAUGUCCCCUUCCUCUUACAGAGGAAGUGGUGUGGCAGAUGAGAGGAGAGGCAUAGCGAUGUCAAUCAACUUGUCGAAGGUCACCCGCAUACAGCUGAGUAUGUUCACAGCUGUAACCCAACGCCUACCAUUGCUCAUUUUCUCUGCAAUGGCCUUUGCAUUUCUGGUGCUGUGGUGAUAAUCAAUCAAGCCAUCAAUGAGACACAGAGAGAGACUUUUUGUUUGGACUUUGUUGUUAAUAGCACAGUCAUGAAGAGCAUAGGGUUUGGAAUCAGAGAAACCUAGCC